rnacentral:rRNA from 1 species
UACGUAGGGUGCAAGCGUUAAUCGGAAUUACUGGGCGUAAAGAGCUCGUAGGUGGUUUGUCGCGUUGUUCGUGAAAACUCACAGCUUAACUGUGGGCGUGCGGGCGAUACGGGCAGACUAGAGUACUGCAGGGGAGACUGGAAUUCCUGGUGUAGCGGUGGAAUGCGCAGAUAUCAGGAGGAACACCGGUGGCGAAGGCGGGUCUCUGGGCAGUAACUGACGCUGAGGAGCGAAAGCGUGGGGAGCGAACAGG